CGGGAAGAGCUCAAAUUUGUAAUCUGGCACUUUCAGUGUCCGAGUUGUAAUCUCGAGAAGUGUUUUCCGCGCCGGACUGCAUACAAGUCUGUUGGAAUACAGCGUCAUAGUGGUGAGAACCCCGUAACUGAUGCAGAUGCCCGGUGCUUUGUGAUACACUUUCGAA
rnacentral:rRNA from 1 species